CGUGGAUACCCCACAAUUCCGCUUCCAAAAUUGAACACAUCCCUAUUUUUCUUCCAAAUCCACAUCUCUAGUUUCCAUUGUAGUCUCUAGCAACUCCCCCGCAUAUAGCUUCUCCAGUUCUCUGAUUUCUGGUUCCGUCUGUAUUUAUUUUACAGUAGUUUCUAGUAGGCUUCUACCAUUUGUAGCGGCUGUUAUUUUUGCUUUGGGGGUUACCAGACUUAGUGACUCCUGGGUUCUGUAAAUCUUGGUUCAAUCUUUUAGCUUGUUGAAUAAUCGAUUCUCUUUCGAUCAUUUCUGGGUCGAAAAUUUUUUGAUUUCUUCUUUUCCAAAUGUUCCAGAUUACAGAGCUGAAGAAAGAUGGCCAGCUUUCAAUUGAUGGUGCAGGCGAUUGGGUUGCUUCAAGGUUCUCGAUUUCUCGGACAGAGUCUCAGCAUAUGGUUUAAAUCUUCUGCGGCAUAGAUGCAAAUGGGGCAACUUGCAUCCGUCGUUAUGUGCCUACGCUUUCUUUCCAGAUUGAUUUGACUGAGAAGACUCUGUUCUCCGAGGGGAUCCAACCUGGUGUGUCAGCAAGGUCUUCAUCGAUUGGAGGAGGUGUUGCUUUUAGUUUUCUGAUGGUUUGAUCUGAGAGUAGUCUUGUGAGUAUAUUCCAG